rnacentral:rRNA from 1 species
GAUGAACGCUGGCGGCGUGCUUAAUACAUGCAAGUCGAACGAAGAGUGUAGCAAUAUACUCUUAGUGGCGAACGGGUGAGUAACGCGUUGGUGACCUGCCCCGAAGUGAGGGAUAACGGCUCGAAAGGGCUGCUAAUACCUCAUGUGGUCGUGAUGGUUAGAUACUUCAGGUCUAAAGGAGUAAUUCGCUUCGGGAGGGGCCUGCGUCCCAUCAGCUAGUUGGUAGGGUAAUGGCCUACCAAGGCGACGACGGGUAGGGGGCCUGAGAGGGUGACCCCCCACACUGGCACUGAAACACGGGCCAGACACCUACGGGUGGCUG